AUUCCUGGCUCAGGAUGAACGCUAGCUACAGGCUUAACACAUGCAAGUCGAGGGGCAGCAUUCCAGUUUGCUUGCAAACUGGAGAUGGCGACCGGCGCACGGGUGAGUAACACGUAUCCAACCUGCCGAUAACUCGGGGAUAGCCUUUCGAAAGAAAGAUUAAUACCCGAUGGCAUAAUAGAACCGCAUGGUUUGAUUAUUAAAGAAUUUCGGUUAUCGAUGGGGAUGCGUUCCAUUAGGCAGUUGGG
rnacentral:rRNA from 1 species